rnacentral:piRNA from 1 species
GUUAUUUCUUGGUUUCUUUAAUGGGUUUC